rnacentral:rRNA from 1 species
UACGUAGGGGGCUAGCGUUGUCCGGAUUUAUUGGGCGUAAAGAGCGUGUAGGCGGUCUGUUGCGUCGGCUGUGAAAACCCGGGGCUCAACUCCGGGCCUGCAGCCGAUACGGGCAGACUAGAGUUCGGCAGGGGAGACUGGAAUUCCUGGUGUAGCGGUGAAAUGCGCAGAUAUCAGGAGGAACACCGGUGGCGAAGGCGGGUCUCUGGGCCGAUACUGACGCUGAGGAGCGAAAGCGUGGGGAGCGAACAGG